rnacentral:rRNA from 1 species
AACGAACGCUGGCGGCAUGCCUAACACAUGCAAGUCGAACGAGACCUUCGGGUCUAGUGGCGCACGGGUGCGUAACGCGUGGGAACCUGCCCUUAGGUUCGGAAUAACUCCCCGAAAGGGGUGCUAAUACCGGAUAAUGUCUUCGGACCUAAGAUUUAUCGCCUUUGGAUGGGCCCGCGUUGGAUUAGCUAGUUGGUAGGGUAAAAGCCUACCAAGGCGACGAUCCAUAGCUGGUCUGAGAGGAUGAUCAGCCACACUGGGACUGAGACACGGCCCAGACAGGGAGGGGGGGGGGGGGGGGGGAAUGUGGAAAUAGGGGGGAAAGAGUGAGCGGGGAAGGCGGGUUGGGGGAGGAAGGCGUGGGGGUUGAAAAGCUCGUCGAGCGGGAAGGAAAAUGACAGUGCGGGAAGAAUAAGCUCCGGCAAACGCGGGGCCGGAAGCGGGGGAAAAAAAGAGAAGAGGCCCGAAUGACC